UACGAAGGGGGCUAGCGUUGUUCGGAUUUACUGGGCGUAAAGCGCACGUAGGCGGAUUGGUCAGUUAGGGGUGAAAUCCUGGAGCUCAACUCCAGAACUGCCUUUAAUACUGCCAGUCUCGAGUCCGGAAGAGGUAAGUGGAACUCCUAGUGUAGAGGUGGAAUUCGUAGAUAUUAGGAAGAACACCAGUGGCGAAGGCGGCUUACUGGUCCGGUACUGGACGCUGAGGUGCGAAAGCGUGGGGAGCAAACAGG
rnacentral:rRNA from 1 species